rnacentral:rRNA from 1 species
AGAGUUUGAUCCUGGCUCAGGACGAACGCUGGCGGCGUGCCUAAUACAUGCAAGUCGAACGAGAGCGACCGGUGCUUGCUCUGGGCAAUCUAGUGGCGAACGGGUGAGUAACACGUGGGUAACCUGCCCAUCAGAGGGGGAUAACAUUCGGAAACGGAUGCUAAAACCGCAUAGGUUCUUUAGUCGCAUGACUGAAGAAGGAAAAGAGGCUUCGGCUUCUGCUGAUGGAUGGACCCGCGGUGCAUUAGCUAGUUGGUGAGGUAACGGCUCACCAAGGCCGUGAUGCAUAACCGACCUGAGAGGGUGAUCGGCCACAUUGGGACUGACACACGGCCCAAACUCCUGCGGGAGGCAGCAGUAGGGAAUCUUCCGCAAUGGACGCAAGUCUGACGGACCAACGCCGCGUGAGUGAAGAAGGAUUUCGGUUCGUAAAACUCUGUUGUUAGAAAAGAACAGCGCAUAGAGUAACUGUUAUGCGUGUGACGGCAUCUAACCAGAAAGCCACGGCUAACUACGUGCCAGCAGCCGCGGUAAUACGUACGUGGCAAGCGUUGUCCGGAUUUAUUGGGCGUAAAGCGAGCGCAGGCGGUCAAUUAAGUCUGAUGUGAAAGCCCCCGGCUCAACCGGGGAGGGUCAUUGGAGACUGGUUGACUUGAGUGCAGAAAAAGAGAGUGUAAUUCCAUGUGUAGCGGUGAAAUGCAUAUAUAUAUGGAGGCACACCAGUGGCGAAGGUCACUCUCUGGUCUGUAACUGACGCUGACGCUCGAAAGCGUGGGUAGCAAACAGGAUUACAUACCCUGUCAGUCCACGCCAUAAACGAUGAGUGCUAAGUGUUGCAUUGCUUCCGCCCUUCACUGCUGCAGUUAACGCAUUAAGCACUCUGCCUGGGGAGUACGACCGCAAGAUGAAACUCGAAGUAAUUGACGGGCACCCGCACAAGCGAUGAGCAUGUUGAUUAAUACGAAGCCACCACGAACAUACCUACCAAGUGCAUGACCUCCUGUGGCCCACCUCUAGAGA